rnacentral:rRNA from 1 species
AACGAACGCUAUCGGUAUGCUUAACACAUGCAAGUCGGACGGACUAAUUAGGGCUUGCUCCACUUAGUUAGUGGCAGACGGGUGAGUAACACGUGGGAAUCUGCCCAUCAGUACGGAAUAACUUUUAGAAAUAAAAGCUAAUACCGUAUAUUCUCUACAGCGGAAAGAUUUAUCGCUGAUGGAUGAGCCCGCGUCAGAUUAGGUAGUUGGUGAGGUAACGGCUCACCAAGCCGACGAUCUGUAGCUGGUCUGAGAGGAUGAUCAGCCACACUGGGACUGAGACACGGCCCAGACUCCUACGGGAGGCAGCAGUGGGGAAUAUUGGACAAUGGGCGAAAGCCUGAUCCAGCAAUACCGAGUGAGUGAUAAAGGCCCUAGGGUUGUAAAGCUCUUUUAGCAAGGAAGAUAAUGACGUUACUUGCAGAAAAAGCCCCGGCUAACUCCGUG